rnacentral:lncRNA from 1 species
CGGCGAGGCGCCAUUUCGCCCUCCCCGGCCCGCGCCGCGGCUGAGCCCGCGGUGAGCGGCGCGCCGAGGCCACCGCCGCCUGCAGCAGAAGCCAGCGCUCCGAAACGCCUGUUAAGUAGGCUGUCCGCAAGGAAACGUGAUCUGAAGAGGAAGGGGAAAGUUCAGAGUGGUUCCCCCAGAGCCUCGCAGCCCUGGCAGCGGCCAGACAUCCGUCCCAGCUCGUUGCUUCCCUUGGGGGUGAAAAGCCCAGGAGAGGCAGCUGGCGGGGGCGAGCSGAGGCACCAGGAGCAUUGGGAGACUCAUGAAGCAGCAGGGCAGUACCUAUUGCUCCCCUACUUCCAUACAGAUAAGCCACAGGCAGAAAGUACUUUGCAGUCUGUUGCACCUGGACCUGCAGACAUUACUCCUUAGAUGAGUUCCAUCACAACUGUAAACAUCACUAAAAUCUCUUGUAUUAAUGACUUCAGUCAUCAACAG